rnacentral:rRNA from 1 species
CACGUAGGGGGCAAGCGUUGUCCGGAUUUAUUGGGCGUAAAGAGCUCGUAGGCUGUUCGGUAAGUCGGGUGUUAAACCCUCAGGCUCAACCUGGGGCCCCACUCGAUACUGCUGUGACUAGAGUCCGGUAGGGGAGCGUGGAAUUCCUGGUGUAGCGGUGAAAUGCGCAGAUAUCAGGAGGAACACCAGCGGCGAAGGCGGCGCUCUGGGCCGGAACUGACGCUGAGGAGCGAAAGCGUGGGUAGCAAACAGG